rnacentral:rRNA from 1 species
UACGUAGGGACCGAGCGUUGUCCGGAUUCAUUGGGCGUAAAGAGCUCGUAGGCGGCUGCUCAAGUCGAAUGUGAAACCUCGAGGCUUAACCUCGAGCCUGCAUUCGAUACUGGGCGGCUAGAGUCUGGUAGGGGGAUCUGGAAUUCCUGGUGUAGCGGUGAAAUGCGUAGAUAUCUGGAGGAACACCGGUGGCGAAGGCGGCAUCCUGGACCGGCAUUGACGCUGAGGCGCGAAAGCCAGGGGAGCAAACGGG